GAGCGGAUGACGGGAGCUUGCUCCUUGAUUCAGCGGCGGACGGGUGUGUAAUGCCUAGGAAUCUGCCUGGUAGUGGGGGACAACGUUUCGAAAGGAACGCUAAUACCGCAUACGUCCUACGGGAGAAAGCAGGGGACCUUUGGGCCUUGCGCUAUCAGAUGAGCCUAGGUCGGAUUAGCUAGUUGGUGGGGUAAUGGCUCACCAAGGCGACGAUCCGUAACUGGUCUGAGAGGAUGAUCAGUCACACUGGAACUGAGACACGGUCCAGACUCCUACGGGAGGCAGCAGUGGGGAAUAUUGGACAAUGGGCGAAAGCCUGAUCCAGCCAUGCCGCGUGUGUGAAGAAGGUCUUCGGAUUGUAAAGCACUUUAAGUUGGGAGGAAGGGCAGUAAGUUAAUACCUUGCUGUUUUGACGUUACCGACAGAAUAAGCACCGGCUAACUCUGUG
rnacentral:rRNA from 1 species